GCACGCACACACACGCUGGCGUAUUCCUCUACUGGACAGCGGAACGGUCAAGCAGAGCGUGAGUACGAUUGCUCCCUUUUUUUCAUCGUACGACUGCCCAUUCUUCUCUUCCUUUUUGAACUUUUUUUUACCGCUGCGUUGUCUUCUUGCGUGUGCGCGUGCGUUCCGCUCAAGCCCCGUUGGUGCGACGCGCCAUAUCUCCUUUUUUUUCCCCAUCGAAGUCUCUCCCGCACGCGCGCACACACUUGCUGUACUAUCUCUGAGCGAGAGGGGACAUCACCGUGUUGGUCCGCGUCUUUUUCGGGCGGCACAUUCUCAGCUGCAACGAAAAGAAAUACAUCCGGACAGCAACGGUUGCGUUGUGCUGGGUGUCGGUGUAUGGGCUGUUUGUGCACCACGUCGUCUUGUCUGCGCAUCAAGACAUCCGGCAGCACUUUUUCUUCUUCACACGUAGGCCUUUUUUAAGCACAGGCCGGGGGUCGCGCUCAGCCGACGUCAGUCGACUCUGACGGAGAUCUGUGGAUGCUGCCUACUCUGGUUGUGAGCGGAUGGGCGAGACUCCUUUGAAGGGCACGCACAGAGCCCCUUCAACGCCAGCGUAGCACUGACAGAUACACACACAACCACAUCCAGUAGAGGUGGGCUUUACCAUCUUUCUUCUUUUUUGUUUCUUCUCUCUCCUUCUUUUGUGUGUAUGCCGCAUUAUUCGGCACUCCCAACAAGGAAACUCACUUCAGUGAACGCGGCGCGGCGCUCCGUUCGUGCUUCCUUUUUUUACUUGUUCGGCUAUGUGUAUGGUGGCACACGUUCUGUGUGCUUGUCGAUUCCCAACUGUCUUGUCGUCGAACUCACUCUCUUUCGCGUUUGGCACUUCUUCUCUUUGUGUUUCUCUCUCUCUUUAGCUUGAGCUGGAUCGGUGUGGUGUGUGGUUUGGACUGGUGUUUCUUUUUUUUUUCGCAUUUGGCGGUAUGCAUGUGCCCUUGCGCUGUGCAGUUGUGUGCUUCACACGUCUCACCUGUUAGUUUUUUUUCCAUUCCCCUCCCCCAUUCCCUGUUUGCAUUUUUGCUUCUAGCCGUACCCUCAUCUUACGCCUUCAUCAUCUGCCCCCCCCUCCGCCUGUUCACCUCCAUUUUCUGCAUCCUCUUUUUUUUUCAUAUCUCUGACACACAUCCUUCGCUAUUUCUGUAUCUCAUUUAUUCUCUGCUGCUGGUUGCUUUUUUUUCCUUGUGGUAGCUCUCUCUCCAAACACCCGCGAAGCUUAACCCGUGGACGCAUAAGCGCAUCCGGAGGGAGACAUCUGUAGAGCUAAACGGGUGCGCUGCCUUUUUCCAACGCUUCACACCGUCCUCAGCACACGGCCCAAUCGAUAUUUCAAGCAGGAACGUGCACGCAGAUAACUGAAGGACACGAAACGUUUACAGCAUUCUAUUCUUCUGCCCGUUCUUCGUUGAGGUGCACUACUCCUUCACCCCUGUCUGUCUAUACCCGUAUAUAGGCAUACAGAUAUCGACACACAUAGAUGUAUGCGAGUGUACAUCGUCGACUUCUUCGUUUUCCCUCUGCUGGCAUCUUUUCCUCUACCACAACUAGCUUGCUACCGCCGCUGCUUCUUCGUAUGCAAAAUCGUCGUCGUCUUCGCUACGACGCACCGUUCUUUUUUUCUUUUCGCCUGUGGUAGUGUUCUCGCUUUUCUUUUUUGUUUCUCUUGGCGUUGUAUACUGACUUCUCCCUUCUAUUUUCUUUGUGUAUGCGCGUGCGGUUGUAUGUCCCCUGCCGGGUAUUGUUAUCCUUCUCAUAUGGGACUCGUCGUCUCCCCACUUCUCCCUUGUUUGUCCGUCCUGUCACGUAUAGCCGCAUGAGCCGUUGAUUCCUUCUUCGGUGUACCAAAGGUCUUGUCCAUCGUCGACUGAAUUGUGCUGUUUUUCUGUGUUUAUUUCUACCCCUUCACGUGUCUGUCCACCUUUGCUCGCACCCGUUCUUCGUUAUUUUUCUUUUUGUGUAUCUGACGCGUUAGCAUCGUGGAACAAGAUAGAUUCAGCGCACAUACACACCAAGAGCGAAACAGCGCGCAUCGACGAGAGUGGACGGGACGUGCGCGGAAGGCUCAAGACACACCUUUUUUUCCCAGCAUUCGUCUCCUCUCUGUUUCCAUCUCUCUCCCAUUGCUUGCCACAGGCUUUUUUUUCCGUCUGGUGGAUGAGGUGCGCCACGCGUGCUCCAACGUUUCGCGAUUGUGUACGUUUCUGUGCGGUGUGGUGUGCAUCUCCAGCGUUUUUUUUUCUUUGUUUCACUCAAUGGAUCUGCAUACAUAGGUACUUGUCUAAACGACUAAGAUAGUCUUGAACUACAGGGCACUGGCGCGAGACAAGACAGAAAAGUAUCCCCUCUAGUCAAUCUGCCGUCGCCUUUGCUUUUCACGCUUUUUCUCUUCGAGAAGCGUCUUCUGUGUUUGCUGACUCUUUCUGUGUCGUGUGUGGCGGAACAAGGGUAUAGCAACGCCACUGACGUCCCCAUAUCUCUCUCUUACCGUCUGUCGUGCUCGAUUUCCUCGCCUCACGCGCAGCUCAGCGUCCUUCCCAAUUCCCGUGUUACCCACGACUUCUCUGUGUGUCUGCAGUCGUGUUUGCUUUCCUUUUCGUAAAGGGUCUCUUUCCCAUCUCUCAUCCUUUCAGCUUGGCUCUCCGAAGGGAUUGAAGCUACACCUUCAAAUUCUUCGCUGCUGGCUGAAAGAGCGCUGCGUUUUCCUCUUUUUUCCGUGUUGUUGCUCGUGCCGUUUUUCGGCGGACGUGCGCGCGCGUUUUCUCCUAGUUGGUGUUGAACUUUCCUCUUUGCCUGCGUGUGAGUGUGUGCAUCCCUCUCUCUCGGCUACCGAGGGAAGGCAGACGAGGUUAGUCUGUCGCUGCGACUCGACUCUCCCUUUUCCUUCUCGUUCUCUCACUGAUUCAUUUGUCCUGUAGCUUCAUCUCGCCCCGGUUUUCGUGAACUUUUAUGUUUUGUGGUUACUGUUGCUUCUCUCUCGUCGUCUGCAUCUAUUCUGUCUCCCAGACGAGGUCUUGCCUCUUUACCUACAUCAAGUGCGACUCUCUCUCUGUGGCGGUGAUCAACGUGGCUUUAUUUUUUCGUUUUCUUCGUUGAGGAUUUGUUCGCUCUGCCUCUCAAGUCGCCCUCGCUCCCUCAUCAUACUUUCAUCGACGCCAUCCACACCCCGCUGGUCUCGGCCGGACGCUCUCACAUACACGCCAAUGAGUACGCCGUCCAUCUGCGAGAGUGCCACCUCCAUUGCCGACAGUCUUGACGGUGAGGAGUUUCUGGCUGCUAGUCCCUUUCACCCGGGCAAUGUGGGUCUCCGCGCCAUGGCGCAUGACUCUCCCCGGACGAGCUUUCAGCCGUGCUUUGCGCGCAUCGAUUCGAUGGAUUACCGGGGCCAAAACAUCGUUGAGGACGUGAACAGCACUGCGCCCGUCAGCUGCGUAUCGUCGCGUAUGUCGCAGAGGUCACAUCCGCGGAAGCCCAUAGCGGCAAACCGGCGUGCGGAGGCGGCGACUAACACAUUGCCACGGCAUUGCGACCAUACGCAGUCGAGGGACAAACCGCGCUCUGGCUUCCGGCUUGACGCUCGCAACCCGAGGGCGGCGUACUCGAGUGCGCCGGCGCGGCCUAAGUGCGCCACUUCAUCUGUACCAGUCUUGCCCUCAACGGCGGCGAAAGUGGCGGCUGCCAGAAGCUCUUGCCAGGCGCUGAAGACCUCUACAAGCAACUCACAGACCGCUUCCGGCUCAGAGCGCCCUCACAGCAGCGGUGCCGCUGUGGAUCUGCCCUUGGCCUCCGCAUCCUCAUGCAGCGACAGCGCCAAGCGCGUGCAAGAGAAACAUACGGCAAGUCCCGGUGGAACUUCGAAGAGGACUACCGGCGGCAGCGAAUCUAAGGAAGCCACGCUGCGGAGCCAUCCACCCCGCCGGAGUGCCGGCUCCGCUGCAACGGCGUCCGUGGACGCGCACAGCAGCGGCAUCGUCGUUCACAUGCACCCUAAAUGCGGAGGCGCGGACCUCAUCCACAGCGACGAUGCUCACCUUACCGGCGCCCAUCGACAGGGGACGGUGCCAGCUCCUACCGCGGGUGCAAAAGUGACUCAGACGUUGCCGCCGCACUCGUCAUCACCGGUAACAACAGCUCUCUCAGCACCUUCUCCAAUCUCGAGGUUUCGCUCUGUGCCGGUGGAGAGCAGCAACAGCGUUGGCGGUGCCGGGUCAUCUCCGUGGCGGACUUCGCCAGAAAAGGGUGCGGUAACAGAGAGAAGUCGCGCCUCCGCGCAGUUAGCCCCAGCUGGUGCCGCCAACCUGGUCGCCGCAUCGCCCGUGUCGCCGGAGCACGUCUCCCCCAUGCCAUCGUCGAACUUGCAGACAGCGGAGAACAACGCCAGUGGUGGCUCAGCACCGUUGCGCCAAAACGUCAGCAAACACCGUCACUCGAUGCGGAUGCUGCCGCAGUGCUCCACAGACGUGCACACCACGGAAAAAAGUGACAUCGCAGCAGUUUCCAUUCCCCUGGUGUCGAAGGCGUCGAAGGCGCUGAGCCGUGAUCGCACCUCUAGAUCGCAGACCCUUGUCGCGACGCCUUCAGUAGCGUCGGAUUCGGCAAACGUGACGCGUUCGUCCGACGGUGGUCCGCCUGAAAUCGCUAGGGUGCCACGGCUACCUGCUAAGGUGAACUCUCUGAAGAAGAACUCACCGCGACCCGCACCCGAUCCGCAGCCGCACGUAGCAUCUUUGCAGCUGGCUGCGCGAAAAGCUCUGAAACCUGUCCCGGCGCGCGUCGCGCUGACCAAGGGUCCCGAACAGCGGGGUGCCCAAACGCCGCGAAACAACCAACUUCAAGCGCACCAUUCGCGGAUCGAUCUUAUGAAGGGCAACGAGAAGUUUCCCGCAAAGACCAGCACGUCGCAGAAGUCAGGCUCGCUGCUGAACGCCGGCGUGGCCGACGUCAGCGACUCAAAGCAGCGCAUCUACUACUGCACAUCGUCCUUCGGCGACGAGAUCAUGCCGAACUUCGCCAGGGAGGCUGUCGACCUGCGCCUCAAGGUGAACCGGCCAAGCAUCUUCACCUCGGCCAUUCGCACAACGGUGAGGGGGUCUGGAAAACUGAGAGACGCCAAAGUUGCUCCGCUUGCUCAUCUGCAACCGCUGCCGAACCCUUCUUUGCGGCGACCGUCGAAGGAUAGUGCGUCUCCCGUGUCUUUGACGCCGCCGCGCGCGGAUUUAGCUACCGCACCCCCGUCACCGAAGUCGUACUCAUUGGGUGGAUCGCCUUUGCUCUCCGAUUCUCACUCGGCGCAGGCGCCGUUAUCACCAAGCAGCGGGUGCCGGUGCUCGUCACGGCCGCCUCCGAGCAACGUGCCAAGGGGGAGUACUGUGCCGUUCGAGCCGCUCGAACUGAAGCACAUCUUCCCGCCCCACAGCCGUCACCCGUGCUAAAGAAACCCGCGCGUGAUUAUGGGGUGUCUUUCGCGUGCUCCGUGUCUCACCAUGAUGCCGCUCCCCUUCAUACGAUGAGUUUUUCUGAUGCACAGAGUUUACCGGUGCCUUCUCUGAAAGCUGGGUGCUCGCUGCUUUAAACCGAGGUGGCACUGCGAUGGCCGCGGCUCCUUCCCGUCAACUCACGCGUAUUCCUCAUCACUGUGGGAUAAAGACGGUGCGUCGGGAGACGCAGGGGUGCGAAAUCGAAGCACAGGAUCAAUACACGUGCACACACAAACACACAGAUUGGGAGAUGCGGAGCUUGUUCCACAAGACGGAAAGGCUGAGGUAGUAGUCGAUGCGUGUGCGUUACGUCGAUCCCACCACUGUUGCGUUUCUUUUUUUUCCUGUCUUGAGAGCGGGGAGGGGAAGGGGAUUCCUUGAUUCCUUUUUUCGCACUCACCGCGAUGUGUAUGUGUGCUUUUUGUGCACAAUCUGCAAAUGGCGGUUGCGCCCUCCCGAGUUAGUGCACUUGCCCCGUGACAACUCUAGUCAGCUUCUCCCUUUUCCUCAGUUCUCUGACGAAGGCCUUUUCCGUUUGUAUCUGUGGGUGCGUGUGCGCUCUUGCAGGAUAUGCGAAUGUGCCGUGCGCUCUCUCUGAGUGCGCUUGUGUUUUUCUUUCUUCUUUCCUUCUCUCGUGAUGGAUCGCCCGUGGUUGGAAAAUGAGUUUUUCUUGUUUCUCUUUGACAUCCUUAUCGCGUGUUCUCUCUACCGGUUACUCGCGGCGACUUCUCCUAUCACCAUGUACAGGAAAAGCGUUUUUUUUCGGAUGCCACAAAGAUACCUGCCAGCCGGCACAUCUUUUCUCCGUAUCCCUCCUCGAGAAGAUACAGGGCAGCCUUUUUCGCUCCGUCCCUGCGC
rnacentral:misc_RNA from 1 species